GCUUUACACCAGUUGUUGCUGGAACACGACCUGCUCCCACGCUUCCUCCACUUGGUGCCAGGCCUGCCAGGUGAACCCCAGAUAAUGCCGGGCUCUGCUGACGUCAUGGAAAAUCUUAGCAGCUCAUGCACAGGACACACACUUGUCAAUUAGGUGGAGAGCUGACUGCCAAAAGAAAGAGGUUUGCGGUUUCACAUUGUCCUUCCAAGAGACAAAGCGCUCUCUGCCCUGGCGUCCGAGGAGCGUUUUUCCACGCACGGUGCUGGGCUGCCCAAGUCCAAGGCUGUGCGAGGUGCCCCCAGCCCCUGUUGGGAUGUGGGGAGGCGGAGAGACUUCCAGAUCCCCCCACUUCGCAGGGCCAGUCGCUCCGGGGUGGCAGCUGUUUGUGGAGACAGCCACUCACCAGUUGCCGGCUUCGUGGGUGAGUUCCUGGUUGAGGGUGUCCCUCGUGGCUAAGAGCAGGGUAGGGGAGUUCCGAGGGCGGCGAAGGCUGGGAGGCCUCACUGGGAGGCCAGGCUCAGUGGGACUGGGGUGUCCCCGGGGAGAAGGUUCCCACCGGCGACCCACUUGGACUCUGUGCAGUUGUGUCUAGGCCCUUCCUGCAAAUCCCUUCCCAGCUGCCGGCCUCAGGCCAGCGGGAAGCAUCCUACCUGAUACUCAGUGAGGGUCUGGGGGCGUUUUGUGGAAGUCCCUUCUCCCCCAGGCCUCUGCCCACCCCGCCCCGGGGAUCUCAGUACUGCACUGUGUGGCGGGGCGCUGCCUGGGAAUACCCCUCAGCCCCCUGGCCCCGGGUGCGUGUCGGGGGAAACCUGGCUUUCCUUUUUCCUGGUCUGUGAGGAAUCGUGCAGGUUGAGUGGGAGGCCCACAGUUCCAAGGGCGGCAACGAGGACACACAUUAUCUGUAAGAAAUGCGAAAACAACAAUAAACCCGGCAAAAGUUGCUCUGCUUUUUGUUAAUAUCAUGAACCCAUGAUUCCCAAAAAACGUCCCUGAAAAAAAUUUUUGUUGAUCUAAGUUCUAAACAAUGGCUGUUCCUGUUGGGUUUUAAUAAUAUAUAUGUAAGCUUUGAAUUAACACCUUUUUUUUUUUUAUUACUUAGCCUUUGAUAAACAUCCCAUUCUUUGUCGGAGUCAGUUUGGAAAAGCCCAGUUGUGCUGUUGGCUCCCCGCGCGGGGAGGGCCGCUCCUGUUCAUUUGGGGAAUAAGUUUAUGGGGGUUUGGGGUCGCUGGAGAUCCCUUCGGGUACAGUUUGUGGGUCCCACCCCCGUGGAAUUGCGCUUUCCUGCUUUUAAACAGCAGAUUAGAAAUAAACAAUGACAGCACAGCGACCGCAGGGAUGAAGAGAACUUGACUUACUUCAACUCAGUCAUUCUGUGUGACUCCACAUCAGUGUUUAAAAUUUAAAACAGGGAAGCAGUAUGAACCGUGACAAGAAGUAUUUACGUUUGGUGAGUACCGAUUUUAGUUCAUACGUGAAAUAUUUUACUGAAUGUGAACAGUCUUUUUAAGAUGAGCAUUUAUUCUUCUUUCAAAAUGAUUUUUUAAAAUCACACAUCAAGAAAAGAAUAGCUGUUCACACAUUUUAUUACAGUGUUAGUUUCCUAGGGCUGUAGUAACACAUGACCGCAAACUUAGGGGCUUACUGCCACACAAAUCUAUUAUUUCACAGCUCUGGAGGCCAGAAGUCUGAAAUGGGGUGUCCCCUGGCCAAAAUCAAGGUGUUGGCAGGGUUGCGCUUCCUCCAGAGGCUCUCGGGGAGAAUCCUGUACCUUUUCCAGCUUCUAGAGGCUGUCUGCUUUCCUUGGCUUGUAGCUCCUGUCUCACCUUCAGAGCACUUCGCUCUAACCUCUGCUUUUGUCCUUACGUAGCUUCCUUCUCCACUCCCAAGUCUCCCUCUGCCUCACUCCUAUAAGGGCCCAUGUGAUGAAUGUUAGGGCCCACCUGGAUAAUCCAGGCAAAUCGCCCCAUCCCAAAAUCUUUAGGGAUUUUGAAAUCCCUAAAGGGGAUUUUUGAAAAGUCCCUUUUGCUAUACAAGGUAACAUUCAUAGUUUCUAGGGAUUAGGAUAUUUUGGAGGGGCUAUUAUUCAGCCUACCGUAAUUACCCCAAAUAAAUUCGUUGUAUGGGGUGUGGGGUAAAAAAUCACCCACUCUGGAUGUGAAAUGAGGCCUGGGGGCUGAGGCCUGGCACGGCCCAGAAAGCUUGUGGAGAACAUGUUCUGUCUGAGGGGAGGGGAGAUUGCAUUUGGACGCAAGUCAGGGAUGUGUAUGUGUGUGUGCCCCUUUAUGUGUGUGGUUCACUUGCCUGAUUGAGUGGUGUGUGAAGGGCGGAUGUGGGGCUGUUUGUAGGGCUAUAAACGCUGGCCCGGCUCCAGGGUCAGAGCUGUUGAAGCUCGGCCCUGGUAGGACCUUCAUGCACGCAUUAUUACCACCUGACAUGCAUAUACAGUAUAGACCCACUCUGGUUCAUAAGUUAUUGAGGGCCUACUAUGUGCAGGCACUCUUCUGACACUCAAGAUUCAACAGCGAACACACAGACAAGCCCUGCACUCAUGGAGUUUAUAUCACACCCAUAUGUGUUUGUUUAUUAUCUGUCUCACGCAUAGAAUGUAUGCUCCUUGAGGGCAGGAACUUCUCCUGUGAAUUAGCCACUCCCCAAGUGGCAGCCCACAGUGAGCAUUUAUUGAAUGAGUUAAUGUCCCAUUGGGACCAUCUCUGAGAGGUAAAAAUUUGGAAUUACGGCUCUCCAAGUAGACAUGCCCCAACAGAUGACAAAAAUGGAUUUUCUUUUUUGCACAUUAUUUAUCGUGGCAAUGCUGUUGUUUUUCCUUUACUAUUUCCUCAAAAGUCUUGGAAUUCAGUGUAUAUCGUGGGUCCAAGUUGAAUUUCUGAACAACUAAAUAUGGAAGGUUUAACGCUGAGCCUUCAAUGGUCAUUCAUCGUUUUGCUGACACGUAUUAUGUACCAUGAAAUCCAGCCAGACUGAAAACAUGGUCUUAGAAGCAGUAAUUUCCCCCAAAUCACUGGAUCUGAAAAACCUCCACUUGGCCUUCAGACUUUGUACUGCUUUCUAAUGCUCCCCUUUCCCUAAACAAGGCAUGUUGCUCCAAUACCCUUUGGUCCCCACUCAGCCCUGCUCUCCACUGGGACGGAGAGACAAAGGAGCAGACGGACAGACACUCAGCGUGGAAGUGAACGGGCUUCUCAGUUUUCAGGCAGAUGUCAGUCUCCAAGCAAGUUCAGCCUGCUGCUUUGGAUUAAUUUGGGGGAUCUUUCUGAUUCUCUUUGGGCCCUGCAGAAAGGGAUAAGGGCUUUAUACUUUGCCCCAGCUUUUCCUGUUUCAGUUCAGAAUCUCAGAGCUGAAGCGUCACGCUCCUUUAGGAAUGUACAUAAUCUAGGCACUCAGAGUAGGGUGCCAGCCGCCCUGGGGUGGGGUGUGAAGAAAGUGAGACCCAGAAGGAACGCCCGACUUACCAAAAGGCAAGCCCAAGACAAGAGACGGAUGAAAGGGAAUAAUGUUAAAUAACAUACACCCCCGAAAUGGACAUAAAUUCAGGCUGAGAUUCCAUCCCCGGGUUCUGAUGACAUGAACCACAAGAACAAAGCUAAGGGAGAUUUUUAAAUGUCAUCACCAGGCUCCUUUCUGGAAUUACAGCUUUGUUAUUUAUUACGUACCAUGAGGAACAUAUAAUUCCUUAUGUUCAGCGUUGCUGGAGUACUUUCAGCUCGGCCAUCCUGCUGGAUUCCACACCACGUCACCAUGUCAGUUUGAGUCCUUGGUAGAGUUGCCAGAAGUGGAAAGAGGAUUUUUUAAAAAAAUAGAUGUUAUCUAGGAUCAUCCCAGACCAGGAAAAAAGUGGCAAGAAGGCUGAAGUCCAGGGAGCAGAGUGAUGGCCCUAGCCUGCUAAGGACCAGGAUUUGGGGAGAUACGCGCUGUCCACAAGCGGCAUGGUGGGAGUUUGCUUGCAUAACUGUGAUCUAAAAAAAAAAAGCCCAAGUAUGUGUGGCCAGUUGGCUGAGGCUCCAGGCUGAAGCUGUCUCCUGAGCUCAGCAUCCCUGAGACUCCAGCAGUGUCCCUGGGGGAGAGGGACGAGUGUGCGGCACAUUGGCAAAUCUGGGCAGCCCUAGCCCUGCUGUACUUCACCUUUAUGCCCACCGAGCUUCCUUCCGCUUUCGGAAUGGGGAAAUUCAGACAUCAAUCUGGGCUUUCCAAGAAGUUUCAGUUCCACGUUUUUAGCCCGAGAAGGAGGCACGCUGACAGAUUCUGUCCACGUGAUGACUGGGCUGACCGUGGCUUUCUAGCAACGCUGUAGUGUCAAGUCAGGGUCGCAGGGCUGAACGGGGUGCUUUCUGCUUUUCCCAGGCCAUCCUCUCUUCUUUCAAAUUCGACCUUCUAAACAAGGCAUUGCCACUUGGUCAUGAUAAGGCAGCCCUUAGAAGGAGACCACAUUAAAAUUGUUAUGUAGCAUGCCCAAGACAACGACCAUGCAAACUCAAUUCUGCAAAAAAAUAGUUUAAUUGAUUUUCUUAAAAAAAAAAAUCUAUUAUGUUUCUGUGGGCCUGUCUAUUGAUUUGCAGCCCCACAGCAGUAAAGAAGAAGCUUUGUGAUCAAUAAAGCCAAAGUGUAUCUUACCCCGAAUCAGUUCUGCGGGCCCUAAGGGGAUGCGACCAGCCGGCCUCCCCAGACAGUGACUGGAGUAUGAACAACCUUCUCCAGGACGGCCGAGAUUUAUUUCUAUUGGCAUAAACAUAACAAAUGAAACCCUGAUGACUUUUCUUGCUCUGCAAGCCAAGAAUACGUCGCAUUAGUCAUCAGGAAACAUACAAGUACACAAUUUGCAAAAAGAAAAGGAAAGCAGUGCAUUUUUAAAAAAUCUUAGUGCAUUAACUCCUCCCCCAUACUUAAUUAGGAUAAUAAUUUACACCUGGCUCUUUGCUGGUUUUCUUUUCUAUUCUCUGCCCCCUCCUUCCCCAAUGCUGCUUCAGAUUGGUUUCCCAAGUGUUUGGAAGGUUUUUCUGCCUCUGCGGUGAAUACCAAGUACAGGUAACUGCAAUCUGACAGUCCUGUGUAGAACUAACAUUGCUAUCUUAUCCUCUAAAAAAUAAUAAUGUUGACCUAGAUAAGGCACCUGCAAUAACACGCGAACGGCAGCUGGGGAAGCACUGCAGACACCAUCAGGAAGCAUUGGCUGCGGAAAGAAGAGCUCCCUGAACUUGAUAAGUAAUCUUGGCUGCUGUUAAUUUCAGAAUUUGUCAUUUGCAUUUUGCCCUUAAACUGGAGGACACUGCCUGAGGCAGAUUCUGAACAGAUGCUGUGCAAACUCAUCCUGCUGCUUUGAACGGAUUUAGGAACAAGCUUUCUUCAGGCCUAGCCCUGUGCUGGCCGAUUGCCACCCCCUUCAAUGAAGUUGAUCGGUAUGGCUGGAUGGGUGAGGGUGCGGUGGUGCAAAAGGAGGUUGUCAAGGUCAGCGGGGACCGGAUUUUGAAAGGCUUUGCCUGCGGGCACUGGGGAGCCAGAGAGAGAUUAUUGAGAGGGGAGAGAGAGUGAUCAGAUAUGUACUUCACAGCCAUCUCUGGCUACAGUGCAGGGCUCCAGUUUUCAGGUCCGCUUUUUGUACACACAUGAAGAUGAUGAUGAUGGUGAUGGUGAUGGUAGCUAACAUGAUGGGCCAGGCUUGGCUCCAAGUUUCAUUUAAUCCUCACACCAACCCCAGCAGGGAGAUGCUGUUAUUCCCCCAUUUUACAGACAAGGAAACUGAGGCACACACAGAAACAUCCCACAGGACAGUGACCGUCGCAUGAGCCGCACUCCCUUGGUCAGGCAGGUGUGGAGUUCUUCCCUAUUUUAAUGCCCCCCAGGAAUGCAUGCUGGAUGAGAAGCACCAAGUGAGGAGCUCUUUAAUAGAGGAAUAAUAACCUUGACUCAGUUCAAAUUUGUAUUCUAAAAAGAAAAUCACUGGGGGAAAAUGCAAUUAUUAGUCAAUGAUCUCAUGUGCACAUCUUCCGGCAGGUUAACAUGAACCAGUGUGGAGCCCCGGGCAACUGGGGAAAUGGGUGGAGGAUGGUAUACGUGGCAGGGGAGGGACGGUACCCGCCUAGGGACCCCCAGGACCACCCUGCCCUCCUCUACUCUGCGCCACUGAGAGCCCAGAACUCAUUUCUCAGAGGCUUGGGAGGUAAUUCCUUAGCACAGUAGCCCCAGGUGACCUUUAGUGCCAGAGGGUCUCUGAGCUGCACGGUGGAACCCUGGGCCCCACCCCAGGCUGUGAAGUCGGAGUCUCUAGGGGAGGCCUGGGCUCCUGCAGUUUUACUGCCUCAUCUGAACAUCAGCCAGAGCUGAGAGGCCCUGGGCUGACCCUUUAUGCGCUUACACAUCUCCCUUAGGUGUAGGGGCCGCUCUCUGAGAACCAGCUCAGAGGAGGCAGAGCCGGAGGGGCAAGGAGAGAGGCCAGGGGUAAGGGGAGGCAGGGAGCAGCCUCGAAGCAAAUUCCUCUUUCCUCCCACCUCGUCUGGUUGACAAAAAGGGCCACAGGCUGGGGACCUUUGGUGGCUGUGUGUGUCUGGCACAGAGAAGGCACCGAACAACUGUAUACAGGCUUUCCAGGUGAAAUCCCAUCCAAGCGUGGCUGGCUCCCAGCUCUGGAGUUCAGCUCUCUCUUCGGUGGGCUUCCUGGUCAGGACCUCCAGCAUCUCCUUCCCAAGGUCUCUUCUGCGUCAGAACCCAGUGUCUCCCGCUGACUGUGAGCCCCCCACUUCCCCCCUUCCUUCCUGGCCUGGCCCCCAUCCCCCACUAAGCCAGCGCUAUCCUCCUAAACACUGGACAGCCUCUGACCCUGGAUGUGACCGGAUGCGAAAUGAAGAGGACUGGACAGAGUGUUUUGCCGCAUGGAGCAAUCCAGCCUAGGCAUUGGGAGGACAUUCAUCUGACGAGCAUUGAUUGAGCACCUGCUGUAUGAGAGACACUGGGUCCUGGGGAUACCAAGACGUAUGACACCAUUCCUGCUCUCGGGUGGGAGGGAUAAGACGAAAAGGCAAGAAGUGUCACUUGAUGAGAAACAAAGUGCCUUCAGAGGACAGAACCAUUGCUGGCAUCACAUGUCCCCCCAGCAAAGCCACAGUGUUACCUGGAGUUUCUAGCGAGAUCAGCCAGAAGAAAAAUCAGAAUGAGAAAGGGUUUCCUGGUUGAAGAGGAGACCAUUUUCGGGGUGUGCCUGGGGUCCAGUCAAGAAGUCUCCUUGGGCUUCCCUGGUGGUGCAGUGGUUGAGAAUCUGCCUGUCAAUGCAGGGGACGCGGGUUCGAGCCCUGGUCUGGGAAGAUCCCACAUGCCGUGGAGCAACUAGGCCCGUGAGCCACAACUACUGAGCCUGCGCAUCUGGAGCCUGUGCUCCGCAACGGGAGAGGCCACGACAGUGAGAGGCCUGUGCACUGCGAUGAAGAGUGGCCCCCGCUCGCCGCAAUUAGAGGAAGCCCUCGCACAGAAACGAAGACCCAACACAGCCAAAAAUAAAUAAAUAAAUAAAAGAAGUCUCCUUAUUUUGUGCUUAACAGAGACUCAGAUGGCCCUCCGGCAAUGCUGGCCUGGGGGCCCGUAUCCCCAAGCAGGGAGGGGACUGUCCAUCUCCAGAGGUCCUUGCGUUAACACAGAGCCUCUAUCACCAGGGAGCAGUGCUCCUCCCCGGGCCCUGUCGGGCUGGUUGCUGCCAGCACCCCCCAGGCAGCCAUCAGGGAACCCGAGACCCCGGCCUGAGCGCAGCUUCCCAGUCACCCCUCUCC